UUAUAGCUAUGGUUAGAUUUCUAUUAGUAUUGUUUUUCCAUUAUGUCUAUUUUUUUCAAUAUUCUUAUUCUUCUAUUUGUGAUUCUUUGGUUUUUUAUGGAUUUUUUAGGGUUUCUUCUAAAGUUCCUGAUGUUGAGAUCAUAAAUGAAGAACAUGUAACAUUAGCUCCAUUUGCAUUUUAUUUAGAAAGGAAAAUUAGACUGAGGAUGAGUCUCUGUGUAUUUUCAGAGAUUAUGUUACUUGCUUUCUUCGAGUAAUCAUUCUUAUAUAUUCUUACUCUUUAUAGUUUAUAAUAUAUGAAUUUCAAUCUUAAUUUUUCUGUAGUAACUUAAUUAACUAAAUUAUAUUAUAUUACAUUUAUAGAAUAAUUAUUGAUCAAUGUUUUGCUCUGUUGAGGAUGAAAUUAACGUCCAUUUCGUUCCUUUCAGCUGUGAUUAACUAUGUGCCCUCUAUUACUUUUCUGUUUGCAGUCAUUUUAAAGUAACCAAUUUAAUAGGUUGGAGCACAUGAAGAUAAAAGAGGUAGCAUGUCAAGCCAAAACGAUUGGUACUGCAACGCAAUAACAUUUGCAGGAACAUUGCUGAUGGCUCUGUAUAAAGGUCAUGUAGUUAGUGUUGGGAAGUCGUCCAUUAUUCAUGCUACAAGCCAGGCUGAGAUUGUGAAUGAUUCCAAUAAUAACCGGUGGAUCAUAGGAACCUGUGUCCUCCUCAUUGAAUAUCUUUACUUUUAAAUAAAUUACUUAAUGUCUAUAAUUUGAAUCAAUAACCCACUAUCUCUGCAUUCUAAGAAAAAUAGUUAUAGUUAUUAUUUGCUGACUGUAUGCAUAUUAAUUUAUUCAU